rnacentral:rRNA from 1 species
UCGGGAAUUUUGGGCAAUGGGCGAAAGCCUGACCCAGCAACGCCGCGUGAGGGAUGAAGUAUUUCGGUAUGUAAACCUCGAAAGAAUGGGAAGAAUAAAUGACGGUACCAUUUAUAAGCUCCGGCUAACUACGUGCCAGCAGCCGCGGUAAUACGUAGGGAGCAAGCGUUGUUCGGAUUUACUGGGCGUAAAGGGUGCGUAGGCGGCGCGGUAAGUCACUUGUGAAAUCUCUGAGCUUAACUCAGAACGGCCAAGUGAUACUGCUGUGCUAGAGUGCGGAAGAGGCAGCCGGAAUUCGUGGUGUAGCGGUGAAAUGCGUAGAUAUCAAGAGGAACACCUGAGGCGAAGGCGGGUUGCUGGGCCGACACUGACGCUGAUGCGCGAAAGCCAGGGGAGCAAACG